rnacentral:rRNA from 1 species
CCUACGGGAGGCUGCAGUGAGGAAUAUUGGUCAAUGGGCGGAAGCCUGAACCAGCCAAGUCGCGUGAGGGAAUAAGGCCCUACGGGUCGUAAACCUCUUUUGCCGGGGAGCAAGGGCGGGGACGUGUCCCGGCCCGGAGAGUACCCGGAGAAAAAGCAUCGGCUAACUCCGUGCCAGCAGCCGCGGUAAUACGGAGGAUGCGAGCGUUAUCCGGAUUUAUUGGGUUUAAAGGGUGCGUAGGCGGGCUGUUAAGUCAGCGGUCAAAUGUCGGGGCUCAACCCCGGCCUGCCGUUGAAACUGGCGGCAUCGAGUGGGCGAGAAGUAUGCGGAAUGCGUGGUGUAGCGGUGAAAUGCAUAGAUAUCACGCAGAACUCCGAUUGCGAAGGCAGCAUACCGGCGCCCUACUGACGCUGAGGCACGAAAGCGUGGGUAUCGAACAGGAUUAGAUACCCGAGUAGUC